rnacentral:rRNA from 1 species
GACGAACGCUGGCGGCGUGCCUAAUACAUGCAAGUCGAACGCAGUGGGGACGGGUGAGUAACACGUGGGUAACCUCCCAUCAGAGGGGAUAACACUUGGAAACAGGUGCUAAACCGAUACUGAUUGAUGGACCCGCGGUGCAUUAGCUAGUUGGUGGGGUAACGGCUCACCAAGGCCACGAUGCAUAGCUGGCCUGAGAGGAUGAUCAGCCACACUGGGACUGAGACACGGCCCAGACUCCUACGGGAGGCAGCAGUAGGGAAUCUUGGGCAAUGGGCGAAAGCCUGACCGAGCAACGCCGCGUGAGUGAAGAAGGUUUUCGGGUCGUAAAGCUCUGUUGUUAGAGAAGCGGUAUCUGAACAGAAAGCCACGGCUAACUACGUGCCAGCAGCCGCGGUAAUUC